UGGGGAAUAUUGGACAAUGGGCGCAAGCCUGAUCCAGCCAUGCCGCGUGAGUGAUGGAGGCCCUAGGGUUGUAAAGCUCUUUCACCGGUGAAGAUAAUGACGGUAACCGGAGAAGAAGCCCCGACUAACUUCGUGCCAGCAGCCGCGGUAAUACGAAGGGGGCUAGCGUUGUUCGGAUUUACUGGGCGUAAAGCGCACGUAGGCGGACUUUUAAGUCAGGGGUGAAAUCCCGGGGCUCAACCCCGGAACUGCCUUUGAUACUGGAAGUCUUGAGUAUGGUAGAGGUGAGUGGAAUUCCGAGUGUAGAGGUGAAAUUCGUAGAUAUUCGGAGGAACACCAGUGGCGAAGGCGGCUCACUGGACCAUUACUGACGCUGAGGUGCGAAAGCGUGGGGAGCAAACAGG
rnacentral:rRNA from 1 species